ensembl:snRNA U6 U6 spliceosomal RNA
GUGCUCACUUUGGCAGCACGUAUACGAAGAUUGGCACAAUACAGAGAAGAUUAGCAUGGCCCCCAUGCAAGGGUGACACACAAACUUGUGAAGCAUUCCAUAUUUAG